GAAAUGCGAUAAGUAAUGUGAAUUGCAGAAUUCAGUGAAUCAUCGAAUCUUUGAACGCACAUUGCGCCCGCCAGUAUUCUGGCGGGCAUGCCUGUCCGAGCGUCAUGUCAACCAUCAAGCCCCCGGGCUUGUGUUGGGGACCUGCGGCUGCCCGCAGGCCCUGAAAACCAGUGGCGGGCUCGCUGUCACACCGAGCGUAGUAGCAAUCACCUCGCUCAGGGCGUGCUGCGGGUUCCGGCCGUUAAACAGCCUUACAAAACCCAAGGUUGACCUCGGAUCAGGUAGGAAGACCCGCUGAACUUAAGC
rnacentral:misc_RNA from 1 species